rnacentral:rRNA from 1 species
UACAGAGGGUGCAAGCGUUAAUCGGAAUUACUGGGCGUAAAGGGUGCGUAGGCGGCCGUGCAAGUCUGGCGUGAAAGCCCCGGGCUCAGCCCGGGAAGUGCGCUCGAAACUGCGCGGCUCGUGUGCCGGAGGGGAGAGUGGAAUUCCUGGUGUAGCGGUGAAAUGCGUAGAUAUCAGGAGGAAUACCGGUGGCGAAAGCGACUCUCUGGACGGCAACUGACGCUGAGGCACGAAAGCGUGGGGAGCAAACAGG